rnacentral:lncRNA from 1 species
UUCAAUUGAACACGCCCCCAACCACAUAGAGUUGCCCUUGCAGUGUGCACAAAAAUUAGCUAAUUGGAGCAUUUUUGAGCUCUGAAAAUAAUCGAAAGGCAUUGCUUAUGCACACCUACAUGAACCCGCGAGAUGUAAAAUGCAAAAACAAGCGGCUGAGCACGAUCUGUUAACUAUUUUCUCAACUUUCACAAUUGUGCACAAUUAGCAGAUAACUAAACAUGCCGUUUCCAUCAUUCCAAAGCUGUUUCCUACCAAAACAACUUUAAAAUGCAAACAAACUGCAAUGAGAACCUUGAGGUCCAACUUCAACAACUUGUUACUAAUUCCGCUGCUUUCCUUCCUGCAAAUCUGAUCAUUUUCCUAUAGUCCAGAUCCAUUUACCUGUUCUAGGUAACUGCAAGAAAACCCAGAAAAAUAUUUUAUGGAAAUGCAUUGAACCAAAAAUGGACAAGUAAUCGGACAAAGCAAGUCAAAUCCCCAUUACGAUGAUAAAAUGAAAGAGAAUAUUAUAUGACCUACUGAAGACAACCAGAAACAUGUUCUAUGGUUUCAUUUGCAGAAAGGUUCCUGAAGAGUACAACUCGAAUCACAAUGCCCUUUCAUGUAUGUGCAGCCUCUGGAGAUUAGUUUGACAACGCUAAAAUUCCUAGCUAAAAAAAUCCUGCAAUGAACACACGGUAGAGCAUCGUUAUCCUCAAAACCCCUAUCGUUUCGGAAACUAUCCUCUUGUUUGGGCAAAU